GAUGAACGCUGGCGGCGUGCCUAAUACAUGCAAGUCGAGCGAACAGAUAAGGAGCUUGCUCCUUUGACGUUAGCGGCGGACGGGUGAGUAACACGUGGAUAACCUACCUAUAAGACUGUGAUAACUUCGGGAAACCGGAGCUAAUACCGGAUAACAUAUUGAACCGCAUGGUUCAAUAGUGAAAGGCGGCUUUGCUGUCACUUAUAGAUGGAUCCGCGCCGUAUUAGCUAGUUGGUAAGGUAACGGCUUACCAAGGCAACGAUACGUAGCCGACCUGAGAGGGUGAUCGGCCAAGCUGGAACGGAGACACGGCGCAGACUCCUACGGGAGGCAGAAGUAGGGAAUCUGCCGCAAUGGGCGAAAGCCUGACGGAGCAACGCCGCGUGAGUGAUGAAGGUCUUCGGAUCGUAAAACUCUGUUAUCAGGGAAGAACAAAUGUGUAAGUAACUGUGCACAUCUUGACGGUACCUGAUCAGAAAGCCACGGCUAACUACGUGCCAGCCGCCGCAGUAA
rnacentral:rRNA from 1 species